CGGUGAAGCUUGGCUGCCUGCAUCUUGAGGGACUAGAAAUGGCCAUUAUGGCCCUUUAGAGCAGCGGGGGUGGGGUUGGGGAGCUGGGACCAGCCAUUCUAGCCCCAGGGGGGUAGGACCUGGCCACUAGGUGGGCUUAUGGAUUCCAUGGUCCUCAGAUGGUUCUGGGAAUUGAGUCUGGGUGCUCUGGAAAAACCAGCAAGUGUUCAACUGCUGGGCCAUCUCUCCAGGUCUUCACCCUGAAUCUGUGAAGUACUUGCUGCACGCCAGAGCCUGUCCUGAGGCUGCAUGGGCACACAUUUCCCACGCCUGCCUGCUUUGAGAGAUGUGACCUGUGACAGCCUUUCUGUGGCAUUCUUGGGAGAGACUUGCAUUUUCCCAUCUCAGCUACUCAGUGUGUGGAUUUGAAUUAACUGUGUGUUAAGCCUCCCUCUACGCUUUUCAAAUCUGAAAACUGCACCUAGUUCUCUGGCCCUUGUAAAGAUUAAAACAGAAUAUGAGACAGCUCAGAGGUUAAGAAUACUGGCUGCGGGCUGGAGAGAUAGCCCAGCAGUUAAGAGCACUGACUGCUCUUCCAGAGAUCCUGAGUUCAAUUCCCAGCAACCACAUGGUGGCUCAGAACCAUCUGUAAAGAGAUCUGAUGUCCUCUUCUUGUGUGUCUCAAGACAGCAACA
rnacentral:lncRNA from 1 species